rnacentral:rRNA from 1 species
GGCUAACGCUGGCGGCGUGUCUUAGCCAUGCAAGUCGAGCGGACUUAUGGGGUAACUUAUAAGUCAGCGGCGGACGGCGGAGUAACACGUAGCUAACCUACCCUCUGGACGGGGAUAACCUACCGAAAGGUGGGCUAAUACCCGAUGUAGUCAUCCUGUAUAGGGGUGAUGAAAGGUGGGCUUCUGUUUACAAGCUCAUGCUGGAGGAGGGGCUGCGGCCUAUCAGGUAGUUGGUAGGGUAAUAGCCUACCAAGCCGAUGACGGGUAGCCGGCCUGAGAGGGUGGACGGCCACACUGGGACUGAGACACGGCCCAGACUCCUACGGGAGGCAGCAGUAGGGAAUAUUGCGCAAUGGGCGAAAGCCUGACGCAGCGACGCCGCGUGGGUGAUGAAGGCCUUCGGGUUGUAAACCUGUCCUUGGGAAGAAGGAAGUGACGGUACCCAAGGAGGAAGCCCGGCGUAACUACGUG